rnacentral:rRNA from 1 species
GACGAACGCUGGCGGCGUGCUUAACACAUGCAAGUCGAGCGAGCGGCGGACGGGUGAGUAAUGUAUGGGGCCUGCCCGAUAGAGGGGGAUAACUACUGGAAACGGUGGCUAAUACCGAAUACUAUCGGCAAACACAUAUGGGAUUAGCUAGUAGGUGGGUUAAAGGCUCACCUAGGAGAAGAUCUCUAGCUGGUCUGUGAGGAUGUUGAUCCACACUGGUACUGAGACACGGCCCAGACUCCCAGGUAGGCAGCCUUGGGGAAUAUUGCACAAUGGGCGCAAGCCUGAUGCAGCCAUGCCGCGUGUAUGAAGAAGGCCUUAGGUUUGUAAAGUACUUUCAGCGGGGAGGCGUUACCCGCAGAAGAAGCACCGGCUAACUCCGUGCCAGCAGCCGCGGUAAUAC